UAGGUUUGAAGAUGUCAAAGAAACUGACGGAAAAGGAACGCGACGAAUUUUCAGAACGAUUCACAAAGUAUAUUUUUCAGCAUGUUGCAUAUCAUGAUAAACAUGUGGUAUUUUGAUCAUAUCUAGAGCGUAGCAACUCAGAAUGACAUGUGACUGGCGGUAAAUGAAAUCUAACAUCAAGGGAGACAACUUUCAUGAAGACACCAAAGGCUAAU
rnacentral:lncRNA from 1 species